rnacentral:rRNA from 1 species
AUUGAACGCUGGCGGCAUGCCUUACACAUGCAAGUCGAACGGCAGCACGGGAGCAAUCCUGGUGGCGAGUGGCGAACGGGUGAGUAAUAUAUCGGAACGUGCCCAGUAGUGGGGGAUAACUGCUCGAAAGAGCAGCUAAUACCGCAUACGACCUGAGGGUGAAAGGGGGGGAUCGCAAGACCUCUCGCCAUUGGAGCGGCCGAUAUCAGAUUAGCUAGUUGGUGGGGUAAAGGCCUACCAAGGCAACGAUCUGUAGUUGGUCUGAGAGGACGACCAGCCACACUGGGACUGAGACACAGCCCAGACUCCUACGGGAGGCAGCAGUGGGGAAUUUUGGACAAUGGGCGCAAGCCUGAUCCAGCAAUGCCGCGUGCAGGAUGAAGGCCUUCGGGUUGUAAACUGCUUUUGUACGGAGCGAAACGGCUUCCACUAAUACUGGGGGCUAAUGACGGUACCGUAGAAUAAGCACCGGCUAACUACGUGCCAGCCGCCGCAGUAAGAC